rnacentral:misc_RNA from 1 species
GAGAGGCAACAAGUUCCGGUAAAUUCGCUAUAUUAAGAAGGGUGAAAACACAAUCCAUCUUAUGAAAUCCCAUCACAAAAAGGAGAUCGUGUAUGGGGAAUAAGAACCAAAGCAAGGAAGAAAUCUCUAAUCCAUCAUAGUUUUAUAGCUUUCCAAAUCAUCUAAUGGCCAUUACUGGUAGCCGCGAAGUAGUAAGGCUUGCAAAAAGAACUCAGAACUGCAUUAAUGGCACGGCAUAAAUCAAACAACGUGAAUGUUGAUGAAACUACAUUAUUCUCAUCUUUCUCUCACUGUCUUAAGUUUCCAAGCACCCCAAACAGAGCGUAAAAGUAAUCAAAUUUACCAAAAUUACAGAAACCAAAGUAGAAAGAAAGCAUGAGCUCCUACAAAUUCCUACAUUAACCAAAACCAAAAUCAAC